CCUUUGUACACACCGCCCGUCGCUACUACCGAUUGAAUGACCAAGUGAGGCCUUCGGAUCGGCUGGCGAGGUGCCGGAAACGGCGUCUUCUGGCCGAGAAGCCGGUCAAACUUGGCUGUUUAGAGG
rnacentral:rRNA from 1 species